rnacentral:rRNA from 1 species
AGAUUGAACGCUGGCGGCAGGCCUAACACAUGCAAGUCGAGCGGUAGAGAGGUGCUUGCAUCUCUUGAGAGCGGCGGACGGGUGAGUAAUGCCUAGGAAUCUGCCUAGUGGUGGGGGAUAACGUUCGGAAACGGACGCUAAUACCGCAUACGUCCUACGGGAGAAAGCGGGGGACCUUCGGGCCUCGCGCCAUUAGAUGAGCCUAGGUCGGAUUAGCUAGUUGGUGAGGUAAUGGCUCACCAAGGCGACGAUCCGUAACUGGUCUGAGAGGAUGAUCAGUCACACUGGAACUGAGACACGGUCCAGACUCCGUACGGGAGCAGCAGUGGGAA